rnacentral:lncRNA from 1 species
UUCUUUUUUUUUCUUUAUGAAAACAUAUUUAUUAAAAGUUCUCUACAAGUUAGCAACAAUGUGCCAUUCUUACCUUUCCACACACGCAAAGGAGACCUAGUGUUUCCAGCUGUCCUGGCGAAUGCCCAGGUCAACUCCAAGUCCUCAGCCAGGGAAUGUAUCAUAGAUACAGGAGCAGGGCAAUACCAACAGAGGCCUGGCCCUGCUCCUCCCCAAGUCCCACCAUCCUCUCAAGAUUAUAUUGCCAACAGUCAUUCACAUUUCGCGUGGCUCUGGACACACAGGUUCCUCAGACAGACACAGACGACAAAACAAGCCUCAGAGCCCAAUGACGACAAUCGGACAUAUGUAUAAAAGGUAAAAUGUACAAAUAUAAAGCACACAGUACGUGAGGUAUACACGGCAUUCUCACAAUGUUAGUAGUCUGCCUAGGCAUAACCCUUAAAGAUGCCUGCCGGCUUCUGUGCCAUUUCUCAGAAGACAGUAUUUCUGUUACCCGUUUGAACACCUGGUUUCGGCACUGUCCCAGACAGUGACAGCUAUUUCAUCUGUAAUUUUUUUUUUAAUGCAACUUUCGGCAGUUUCUCUGAGAAGCUUCAUUUCCUGUAGGGAAUAAGUUUCCGUCUCCAGAAGCAUUCAGGCAGAGGCUAGGUCCCCUGCCUGGG